rnacentral:ncRNA from 1 species
GGCUUUGUGGAGAACAAAUUGUCUCAGCACUUUGCCACCUCAAUGUUGGCUCAGCACAUCCUACAGGUGAAGAAGCUUGUAAGGGUUAGACUGUUUGUUUAGUAAAGUGCUACGUGAGCUGGGUUCAGUACGACAUGAGUCAGUAC